rnacentral:rRNA from 1 species
GAUGAACGCUGGCGGCGUGCCUAAUACAUGUAAGUCGAGCGAAGCGGGGACGGGUGAGUAACCCGUGGAUAACCUCCUAUAAGACUGGGUUAACUUCGGGAAACCGGAGCUAAACCGGAAACUUAUAGAUGGAUCCGCGCUGCAUUAUCUAGUUGGUAAGGUAACGGCUUACCAAGGCAACGAUGCAUAGCCGACCUGAGAGGGUGACCAGCCACACGGGAACUGAGACACGGUCCAGACUCCUACGGGAGGCAGCAGUGGGGAAUCUUCCGCAAUGGGCGAAAGCCUGACGGAGCAACGCCGCGUGUGUGAUGAAGGUCUUCGGAUCGUAAAACUCUGUUGUUAGGGAGGCGGUAUCUAACCAGAAAGCCACGGCUAACUACGUGCCAGCAGCCGCGGUAAUAC